rnacentral:rRNA from 1 species
CAGUAGCCACGGGAAUACGAAGGGGGCUAGCGUUGUUCGGAUUUACUGGGCGUAAAGGGCGCGUAGGCAGACUGAUAAGUCAGGGGUGAAAUCCCAAGGCUCAACCUUGGAACUGCCUUUGAUACUGUUUGUCUUGAGUUCGAGAGAGGUAAGUGGAACUGCGAGUGUAGAGGUGAAAUUCGUAGAUAUUCGCAAGAACACCAGUGGCGAAGGCGGCUUACUGGCUCGAAACUGACGCUGAGGCGCGAAAGCGUGGGGAGCAAACAGGAUUAGAUACCCGAGUAGUCCCUGUCUCUUAUAU